GUGCACGCUGGCGGUAGGCCUAACCCAUGCAAGUCGCACGGCAGCACAGUAAGAGCUUGCUCUUACGGGUGGCGAGUGGCGGACGGGUGAGGAAUACAUCGGAAUCUACUUUUUCGAGGGGGAUAACGCAGGGAAACUUACGCUAAUACCGCAUACGACCUACGGGUGAAAGCAGGGGAUCUUCGGACCUUGCGCGGUUGAAUGAGCCGAUGUCGGAUUAGCUAGUUGGCGGGGUAAAGGCCCACCAAGGCGACGAUCCGUAGCUGGUCUGAGAGGAUGAACAGCCACACUGGAACUGAGACACGGUCCAGACUCCUACGGGAGGCAGCAGUGGGGAAUAUUGGACGAUGGGGGCAAGCCUGAUCCAGCCAUACCGCGUGGGUGAAGAAGGCCUUCGGGUUGUAAAGCCCUUUUGUUGGGAAAGAAAAGCAGCAGGUUAAUACCCCGCUGUUCUGACGGUACCCGAAGAAUAAGCACCGGCUAACUUCGUG
rnacentral:rRNA from 1 species